UGCGUAGGUGGCAAGCGUUGUCCGGAUUUACUGGGCGUAAAGCGCGCGCAGGCGGUCCUUUAAGUCUGAUGUGAAAGCCCACGGCUCAACCGUGGAGGGUCAUUGGAAACUGGGGAACUUGAGUGCAGAAGAGGAAAGUGGAAUUCCAAGUGUAGCGGUGAAAUGCGUAGAGAUUUGGAGGAACACCAGUGGCGAAGGCGACUUUCUGGUCUGUAACUGACACUGAGGCGCGAAAGCGUGGGGAGCGAACAGG
rnacentral:rRNA from 1 species